rnacentral:rRNA from 1 species
UCCUACGGGGGGCAGCAGUAGGGAAUUUUCGUCAAUGGGCGCAAGCCUGAACGAGCAAUGCCGCGUGAACGAGGAAGGUCUUCGGAUCGUAAAGUUCUGUUGAAGGGGAAAAAGAGCGGAGAGAGGAAAUGGUCUCCGAUUGAUAUUACCCUUCGAGGAAGUCACGGCUAACUACGUGCCAGCAGCCGCGGUAAUACGUAGGUGGCGAGCGUUAUCCGGAAUGAUUGGGCGUAAAGGGUGCGUAGGCGGCCUGCUAAGUCUGGAGUGAAAGGUACCGGCUCAACCGGUACAGGCUAUGGAAACUG